GAGAGAGAGAGAGAGAGAGAGAGAGAGAGAGGGCGAUAGAGCCAUUAGCUCGUCUGCAGCAGACAUCGUUGUACGAGUGGAGGGGAGACGCGUCCACCGUGAGCGGCGCAUGCAGGCAGCAGGAGGGUCAGGCUCGCAGCUCAGGGAGCCUAGCAGGCAGGCAGGCAGUGAGCACUCAGGAGAGGAGAGGAGAGGACAGGAGACUUGACAGCCCUCCACACCGCACAGGAAUGCUGAGAGGAGCCGUGGGCGGGCAGACAGAGAGUAUUCCCAGAUUUGGAAUAGCGGACAGGCGGGAAGUGAGCUGUGGGAAGAGCAGGAAUACCUGGCAGUCUCCUCGCUGAGCUGAGCGGAACUGAACUGAACACGCGGAUCAGGAGACAUCCAGAUAGACGGAACAGCGGAAUCGUAACAUCGGAACCUCCACUCCAUUCUAGAACCCUUCCCUGCCCUCCCAGCACCCAUCCAGCACCCACUCCUGUCUCAGGUUGAGCUGGGGCCCCUGUGUGCUGUGUUGCGCUGUACUGUACUGUGUUCUGACUGUGAAGACACUCCCCCUCCUUACUCACAUGGGAUCCACCACUCGCUAAAACUUCCGGAGGGAGCUUGAUGAGGCUACUGCAGCAGUCCAGGAGGUUCGCUGUGGGUGUGGAAGGGAAAUGAUUCCUCAUGAAGUCAGCGAGACGCAUCGUCGUCGCCGCAGCAGCCAUCGCCAUAGUAGCCAUAGAGCCCUCCCCUCCACCAUCACCACCAUCACCACGACAACCACCACCACCAGCGCACCGCCCGCUACCAGCAGCAGCCACAGGCUGACGCCCAGCACCCAGUACCGCUGAGCGCACACUCACACACACACACACACACACACACACA